UUUCAUCCUCAGGAUGGGAAGUCCUCACAGAGUUCAACAGGGUUUCACCGUGUUGUACACGCUGGUCUUGAGCUCCUGAGCUCAAGUGAAUCUCCUGCCUUGGCCUCCUGAUGUGCUGGGAUUAGAGGUAUGAGCCACCACACCCAACUGGUACUUGUGUAUUCCUGUUCAAAUUUUAUUGAGGAGCUUUUACCACCUAGCCUGUGGUCUAUCCUGGAGGAUGUUUGUGUGUGCGACAAUGUAUAUAGUUCAACAUCUUAGAUCACAUUUUGGAUGUUUCCAAUGGGACUGUGUGUCUCCGCACUGGAACUCAAAUGAACACUUGGCUCAGAAUCCAUUUGCUGUUCUCUGGAAAUCCAGUCCAAUUCUCUUGGUUAAGUAUAAGGUAUGUCUAGUAGGCAUUGCUUUUUCUGUUUGAGAACAAAACUCGGGAGGAUUGUCCCUUGAUGAACAAGGCUAACCUGCUGAGCCUUUGAAGCAAGGAACUGGAGAUGGUCCUUUUCAGGCGUUUUAUUCUGGAUUCCAGAAAACAUGCAAACAGGGCCACUAAAUGCAUCUUUAUUUUUCUGUCCAUUUAAACCUGGUCAAAGAAAAUUCCAACACGAAACCCAGAGUGCUGGAGCAAGAAGAUCUCAAGCUAUGAGUCUACAAAGGAAAGCGCUUUCUGUUGUCAGAAAGAAGAGAAAGCGCUUCCCUUUUGAGGGUUACGGUUUGAGAAAAGCAGUGUUGAAGUUGAUGCUGAUCUUGGUAAUACAUUUGCAGAGCAUGCUUAUCAUCAGACUUGGAUGAUAGCGGGGUUAUGUUUUGGUUUUGUGUUUUUCUAAGACAGGGUCUCCGUUGCCCAGGCUGGAGUGCGGUGGCACUUCCAACCUAGCUCUCUUGGGCUCAAGUGAUCCUCUUUUUAUUUAUUUAUGUAUUCAUUUUUGAGAUGGAGC
rnacentral:lncRNA from 1 species